CCCUUCUGACAUCUGGACCAAGUCUUGCUUGUCUGCCUCCUACCAAUUCCAGAAGUCCCUCUGUCUGACCAUCCUCACAAAAUGAAUCAAUAUAACACACAAACAAAACUCGUUUUGAGAAUCGCCUGAAACCAAAUCACUAACAGCCCUAUAAGCCCUAUAAUGGAGAUACCAGACCCAAACACAUCUACGUGAUAGGCAAGUGUGUGGAAAGAUAAACUACUCUAGAGGAGGCUUUAGCGCAGGCCUCACAACGGAGAAACGACAAGAGCCAAAAUCUGGAUUUUGGUAGCCGACUCGCACCAUCAACCAAUAGAGUGUCAGCUUCCUCAGCCACUCAGAAGCCUAAAUAAGUAGAGCGUUAAUAGUAGAUCUUUGAUGAUCCAUAUUAGCAGAUAAGUUUGUCUACGUCAUUAAAUCAAAAUCAAAUGACGUUAAAAAAGUAAAGUCUCAUAUUUAAUCACAUAGAAUAAUGUUUAAUUGAAUAUAGGCCUAAAGUAACAGACUACAACCAGUUAGCUCUAGAAAUCCCACUAGAGACAGUUUCUUUAAGCCAGUUCUCACUGCUGAUAACAACACAUACUCUGUUACAAACAUGUUUUGAGUUUAAAAUCGGUCGUCUCAGGAGAUGAUAGAGACCAAACCAAAGAAAUGUACUUAAAUUUGACUUAUCAGUGCAAACACAUAAGAAAACGGGAGCCAUCCUCCUCAUAAUUCUUAACUGUUUGUAAAUCUACUCGCUUCAUGUUUGGAUGGUUUUAAUGGUUUAAUGUGAAGCACUUUGACUUGCCUUGUUGUUUAAAUGUGCUAUACAAAUAAUAUUGCCUUGCCUUGUCUCAUAUUUAGGUCAGUUUAGCUUUAAGGAUUGGGACCCAUGGUGACCUCAACAAUUUGCAUGAAUUCCCAUUAUUGAAGAAAAGCAUUGCCUAAUCACACAUUUAUCUCUCAGUUAUGGAAUCCUACAGUUCUUUGCCUGCUGAUUGACUUUUUGAUGGAUUAACAGAGCUAUACUAGGUGAUUGACAUUAAAUAUUUUUAAAAAUGUCACUCUGAGACUAAAAAGGCAUUUUCAGUUGGACAAGAAGUAUAUUCCAUUCAAACCCAUUGGCAGAGCUCAUAUGUGUCAUCCUUCUUAAACGUCAUCUCUGGUUAUUCAUUAUUAAAGUUCUUUUUAAACAUGUGCUCCACAGAGCUGGGCAACACAAUAUUGUGUUAGUUAUGAACAUGGUAUUAUAUAUGCUUUAAGUUAUAUAACUAUAUAUUAAGCAGUUUUCUCUUUUUACUAAAGAACAAAGGGAUCAAACCAGACAAAGGACAACCAGAAAUACAAUCUCUUAUUCCUGAAUACUUCUCCCUUAUCAAUAGCAGGAUGACGCUUUACCACUGACAGUUUUACAUGGUUGAGUCCCCUUCAAUCAUUCUCUGGGUCAACAAUAAACAACAUUCUGCAUCAUAGUAAUGAUAGAUGCUCUUUUAUGGAUAGUAUUCAAGGCUACUGUGUUACGGGAGACAGUUAGAGAUUUAUUCAGGGAGUGGGGGGGAGGGUAGGAUACCAGGAAGCGAGGAAGGAGGCUCCGUAUCGGGGUGCGUGAUCCGAGGGAAGGGGGUCUCGUGAAGAGGCUCGGGGGUGGGCUGCCGGCUGGUUCGGUGGAAGGCUGAGCAGGAUACUGAUUGCAGGCAUACGUAUCACGUCGUCGGGGGGCAAUCAUCUGACACAGGAGCCCAGGAGAGAGACCAGAUUGCUUAAUCAGCCACAGGUGAGAAUGGUGGGAGAGCUCUGCUCAGCCGUCCCGCCCAGCCUGAAAACUAAACAAGAAAACCAGCCAGCACCCAGGAUCAAAUAUAUAUGAAUCAAUGAAGGCAAAAAAUCAUAAUCACCACAUACUGGUUGGUCAGCCCCUCUGGUCUGUGACUCUAGUCUGACUUGACUACAGUCAUGUGAUGUGAUUAUCUUCCCCAGCAGCUAAAGCCAAUGACUCAUCGGUAUUUAUCCUACACUGCCCCAGAGGCUCCCUGUCCUCGAAAGGCUCCGUGAUAGGCCAGGGCCACUCUUCAGCCACGUUCUCGCAGCCAAUGCUCAGCGAAUUGUCCUGUCACUCUAAUCAUGUGGCCAUUCACUGAGCGACUGCACAGAAAGAACACAAACAUGCGUGUAACUGGGCAAGCCAAUAGCUGAGUGGUUAGGGCGCAAGCCACAUGGUCACUGAUUCCCUGAGUCCCAACUACAUUCCCAACUAUCCCGACUGCUUGCUGCAUGUCAUUCCCUCAUUGCUUCUCCUCACUCUUUCCACAGUCCCUCGCGAUUAAAGGCAUCAAAUGCCCCCAAAAAAUAUCUACAAAGUGAGCUUAACACCACGAAGGAAAGCUUACUUUGAAAGUACUUAUACCCGGGGCUUGACGUUGGCACUCGCCAAAUGUGGGUAGAAUUUGGCUGUGGCGGUUAAAGCACCCACUUGCCACUGGUGGGUUCAAUUCUAUUUUUGGAAUGGUUUUGCGUUUGAGAUUGUAUGUCCAUUCAAGGGUGCUUGAGGGGUGAAGAAGGUCAUUAAUGUGUCAUGAGUGCAUCAUCCACUAACCCAGAAUGCUCGGUCACUUUGGUGACAGCGGUGGUUCAUGUGAACCGACUACGGACCUUGACGACGUAAGUUCACACUUCCUUAGCUUAGCUGUGUCAGUUUAGCUAGCAGGCUGAACCCGCUUCAGAGAGCUGAGCAAUGCGGACCCAAAAUGUGCGUGGAGAUGAAGACCCGUUGAACAGCUCGGGGCUGUUCGGCAGGCGGUCGGCGAGCAGUUUACACGCCACACCUUAGGAAGGACACAAACACCAAGUUGUCCUGCUAACGUUGUAUCUUACACGUAUCGUUUCCCCUCUCGGCCACCGCUCCUCGUCACUAAACAACAUAGACACGCAAGCACACGAGACAGGUGGAGGCUUUGGAUGUGAGGAGACCUGAGCGGUGCAAGGCGGGGAUGAGCAGCAGGUGUAGGAAAACCCAGAUGGCAGACGAGAAAGACAAAAACUGGUGAUGAAAAUGAAGAGACAAAGAAAAUAGGUAACAGGUAACAGGUAACUGUACAUAUACAUUUUAUGUAGUCCUGAUUUGGGUGUUUACAAUGGUCAUUUACAUUUGAAAGGAUUGUAAAUCUAGUUCUUUAAGUAAAUUGUAACAAAGUCAAGUUUAAUCAAAUGAAACUAAAUUUCCCAACAACAUUGUGGCUAAUACAAUCAAUGAGUGGCUAGUACCUUUGGAAAACCAUGAGCCACAGUGGCUGGUGAGCAAAAAUGUUAAUGUCAAGCCCCGGUUAUACCUUACGUGCCGGGAGAACUCCAUGGUCCAACUUAAUAUUCAAACAAACGUUAACGCUACAGGGCUGUAUUUCCCUCAUUGCUAUGUAUGAUCCCACCGAGCAAAACAAAGGACACAUCUGUGAUCUCUUCCUGACUGCUAAUGCUGCACUGUGUGUCUGUGUGGGCAGAAGUCAUGUACUGCGGGCUGAUGGUAGCGUGUUGGCAGCGCUCCAUGUGAAUGGAGGAUGAGCGACGCCUCACCGCGCUACAAUAUUGAUCCGGCGAGCUGAUUCACCCACGGCCUUGGCUGAGCCAGGACAACACACGCAGAAGAGUGUGGAGUCACUACAUGUGUGCCAGCGAGUUCAGUGUCACUUUCAGAGUGUGUACAUUAACAUCAGCAUUUCACACAUUAUUCACUCACUUUGCUGCUCGGGCACUACCAAAUUUGGUACAGAACCAGAAUCGAGUCCACAAGAUAACUCCAACAUCAAACAUCACGAAUCACAUUACCUUUGACGUUUUGACCAAAAUUAUGAAAUGAAUUUGUCUUUUUUUAGACG
ensembl:lncRNA